UACGUAGGUGGCGAGCGUUGUCCGGAUUUACUGGGUGUAAAGGGCGUGUAGGCGGGGAAACAAGUCAGAUGUGAAAUCCCGGGGCUUAACUCCGGAGCUGCAUCUGAAACUGUUUUUCUUGAGUGCUAGAGAGGAAAGUGGAAUUCCCAGUGUAGCGGUGAAAUGCGUAGAGAUUGGGAGGAACACCAGUGGCGAAGGCGGCUUUCUGGACAGUAACUGACGCUGAGGCGCGAAAGCGUGGGGAGCAAACAGG
rnacentral:rRNA from 1 species